rnacentral:rRNA from 1 species
UACGUAGGGUGCGAGCGUUGUCCGGAAUUACUGGGCGUAAAGAGCUCGUAGGUGGUUUGUCGCGUUGUUCGUGAAAACCUGAGGCUUAACCUUGGGCGUGCGGGCGAUACGGGCAGACUGGAGUACUGCAGGGGAGACUGGAAUUCCUGGUGUAGCGGUGGAAUGCGCAGAUAUCAGGAGGAACACCGGUGGCGAAGGCGGGUCUCUGGGCAGUAACUGACGCUGAGGAGCGAAAGCUUGGGGAGCGAACAGG